rnacentral:rRNA from 1 species
GGUUCUCCCCGAAAGCUAUUUAGGUAGCGCCUCGUGAAUUCAUCUCCGGGGGUAGAGCACUGUUUCGGCAAGGGGGUCAUCCCGACUUACCAACCCGAUGCAAACUGCGAAUACCGGAGAAUGUUAUCACGGGAGACACACGGCGGGUGCUAACGUCCGUCGUGAAGAGGGAAACAACCCAGACCGCCAGCUAAGGUCCCAAAGUCAUGGUUAAGUGGGAAACGAUGUGGGAAGGCCCAGACAGCCAGGAUGUUGGCUUAGAAGCAGCCAUCAUUUAAAGAAAGCGUAAUAGCUCACUGGUCGAGUCGGCCUGCGCGGAAGAUGUAACGGGGCUAAACCAUGCACCGAAGCUGCGGCAGCGACACUAUGUGUUGUUGGGUAGGGGAGCGUUCUGUAAGCCUGUGAAGGUGUACUGUGAGGUAUGCUGGAGGUAUCAGAAGUGCGAAUGCUGACAUAAGUAACGAUAAAGCGGGUGAAAAGCCCGCUCGCCGGAAGACCAAGGGUUCCUGUCCAACGUUAAUCGGGGCAGGGUGAGUCGACCCCUAAGG